AAAAUGACUUUGAAAAACAGUAACAUCACCUGCCUCAAAGGGUUGCUUUCAAGAAGGGAAAAAUGAGAUAGACUCUACAAUGCCUGGCAGCAGCCAGCUUGAAGACAGAACAAUCCUACUUCUCCCAUCUGGGACAAAGGUUUGGGCUCCAGUCCUUACUGCAUUUGAUAUUUCCACCUACGCAUCUCUCCAGCUUCUCCUGUAUCCAUCCCUAAGCCCCACAGCAUCCAGAUCUAGAAAUCUUCAAGGGCUCAUACCCAUAUUUCUUUUUAAAAGUUCAACAACAACAAACUCUCAAUAUGAAUAUGAACCUUUUAUUUCUUCCUGCAUGCUCUUUUUCUGUUAGAAUCAUCCCAAAAAUAAAAGGAAAC
rnacentral:lncRNA from 1 species